UCAUCCAGAGAAAGCUGUUUGCCUGGGU
rnacentral:sRNA from 1 species